CCUACGGGUGGCAGCAGUGAGGAAUAUUGGUCAAUGGACGAGAGUCUGAACCAGCCAAGUAGCGUGAAGGAUGACUGCCCUAUGGGUUGUAAACUUCUUUUAUAUGGGAAUAAAACGUUCCACGUGUGGGAUUUUGUAUGUACCAUAUGAAUAAGGAUCGGCUAACACCGUGCCAGCAGCCGCGGUAAUACGGAGGAUCCGAGCGUUAUCCGGAUUUAUUGGGUUUAAAGGGAGCGUAGGUGGAUUGUUAAGUCAGUUGUGAAAGUUUGCGGCUCAACCGUAAAAUUGCAGUUGAAACUGGCAGUCUUGAGUACAGUAGAGGUGGGCGGAAUUCGUGGUGUAGCGGUGAAAUGCUUAGAUAUCACGAAGAACUCCGAUUGCGAAGGCAGUUCACUGGACUGCAACUGACACUGAGGCUCGAAAGUGUGGGUAUCAAACAGGAUUAGAUACCCUUGUAGUC
rnacentral:rRNA from 1 species